UACGUAGGGGGCAAGCGUUGUCCGGAUUUACUGGGCGUAAAGAGCGUGUAGGCGGCCAAGCAGGUCCGUUGUGAAAACUCGAGGCUCAACCUCGAGACGCCGGUGGAAACCGUAAAGCUAGAGUCCGGAAGAGGAGAGUGGAAUUCCUGGUGUAGCGGUGAAAUGCGCAGAUAUCAGGAGGAACACCCGUGGCGAAAGCGGCUCUCUGGGACGGUACUGACGCUGAGACGCGAAAGCGUGGGGAGCAAACAGG
rnacentral:rRNA from 1 species